UACGUAGGUGGCAAGCGUUGUCCGGAUUUACUGGGCGUAAAGGGCGCGUAGGCGGCCACCGCAAGUCGACUGUGAAAUCUCCGGGCUUAACCCGGAAAGGUCAGCCGAUACUGCGGGGCUAGAGUGCAGAAGGGGCAACUGGAAUUCUCGGUGUAGCGGUGAAAUGCGUAGAUAUCAGGAGGAACACCGGUGGCGAAGGCGGGUCUCUGGGCCGAUACUGACGCUGAUGUGCGAAAGCUAGGGGAGCAAACGGG
rnacentral:rRNA from 1 species